rfam:Brevundimonas sp. Root1423 contig_9, whole genome shotgun sequence.
CUCAAGCGUCUUGCGCAAGCUGUGCCGCACUGCGACAAGCCCGGCAGGCGGUUAAGGGAACGCGGUGAGACACCGCGGCUGUGCCCGCAACUGUAGGCGGCGAGACGGACGAUCACUCCGGGGCUUCGGCUUCGGCGUCACUGGGCAACCGGGAAGGCGCGAUCCUCCGUUUUUGACCCGCAAGCCAGGAAACCUGGCCGCCGACGUCGCUCGUC